UUCCGUAUGCAGCUUUUUGAAAUGUACGACUGAAGCUGACUCCAAGACCCCUAUGUUACAGCUCCCUUGAACAACUUUAAGGAAGCGGUUUAGCAGUUUUAGCUUCGUACAAACCCUUUGAUGUAGGGCAUGUUCCACAGAGAGCAUCAGUGAUCAUUGUCCCUGUCAACACCCCAGGGACCGAGUGGGAUUUCGUAGUGCUGGAAGGAAUCUCACAGCUUUGGAUACAAUCUAACUUACCUGGAAAGGAUGCCAGUGUUGCAAGAUUAGAAAAAAAGUUGCAUAAAAAUGCAAGUCUUCAGUUCUGCAUUAUCUUCGGCUUUAUUUUUCUUAGAUGUUUGCAGUGUCACUGGAAUACUGAUUUAUUGUGAAGAACCUCUCAAAUAAGCCUUUCAAGUAGGUGGAGUGCAUCCUGUGUCCAGUAGGGGUUGCACUGGUUGGAUUGUCAGUGGUGACAGGAGAUCUUCCAGUUUGAAGGCAGAUUCGCUGACUUAAUGGCAUGCAGAGCUUGGAGCUGGGAGAGCAGGUCGUGCUAUGCUAAUGUGUUCUCCCAGCAUGAAACAUUAGCAUCAGAUGAGUCAAGAAAUCUCUUCUGAGAUCAAAAUUUAAUCAUCAUUGGACUAGAAAAUCUAUUCUAGAAGGGAUUACUUGCCUAAUAGAAAUGUUUUUCUCCGAACAGGAAAGCUAUUUGCAUGGGUUCACAACUUAAAUGGCUUUCUUUGCAGUGGAUGUAACUGUAUUUCUGUAACAAGUCUGUGUUCUACAACCCUUCAUAGUGUUACCAGAGAAGUGCUGGUGUGGUAGGCCGUGCUCUGCCGCUUCAGUUCAACUCUGCCCCAGUCCGAGACAAAAUAACACUGAAUGUUGCCAAGACUACUGAAAUCUGCUGGUUUUAAACCAAAGAUGGUAUUACUGUGAGCUCAGAGAAGGAUUGCAGAAUUACUCAAGAAACAGUAACACUGCACUUGUGAAACUCCUGCCAUUGUGUACAUUUAAGUUCCAGUAUGUUCUUAAUUUUCCAGUAUGUAAGAUGGGUGUUGGGGUGCUCGGGACUCUUUUGGGUAUGCUUCAGACAGACCAAAAUGCCAAAGUAACACAGCUGCAGAGUCGCUGAUAAUGUAAAACCAGAAAUACUUUCUUUUGUGUGUUAUAAUGGCUUA